rnacentral:rRNA from 1 species
UCCUUAGAUGUUCUGGGCCGCACGCGCGCUACACUGAUGCAUUCAACGAGUUUCUUCCUGGUCCGAGAGGAAUGGGUAACCUUUUGAAAGUGCAUCGUGAUAGGGAUAGACUAUUGCAAUUAUUGGUCUUCAACGAGGAAUUCCUAGUAGACGUAGUUCAUCAGACUGCAUCGAUUACGUCCCUGCCCUUUGUACACACCGCCCGUCGCUCCUACCGAUUGGGUGUGCUGGUGAAAUGUUCGGAUCGGCCGUUUGUCGCGGUUUCCGCGUCAUGUGGCUGAGAAGUUCAUUAAACCCUCCCACCUAGAGGAAGGAGAAGUCGUAACA